rnacentral:rRNA from 1 species
GUGGAUUAGAUACCCUGGUAGUCCAUGCCGUAAACGAUGUCUACUAGCCGUUGGGGCCUUUGAGGCUUUAGUGGCGCAGCUAACGCGAUAAGUAGACCGCCUGGGGAGUACGGUCGCAAGACUAAAACUCAAAUGAAUUGACGGGGGCCCGCACAAGCGGUGGAGCAUGUGGUUUAAUUCGAUGCAACGCGAAGAACCUUACCUGGCCUUGACAUACUAAGAACUUUCCAGAGAUGGAUUGGUGCCUUCGGGAACUUAGAUACAGGUGCUGCACGGCCGUCGUCAGCU